AUUGAACGCUGGCGGCAGGCCUAACACAUGCAAGUCGAACGAGUGGCAGACGGGUGAGUAAUGUCUGGGAAACUGCCUGAUGGAGGGGGAUAACUACUGGAAACGGUAGCUAAUACCGCAUACCAUCGGAUGUGCCCAGAUGGGAUUAGCUAGUAGGUGGGGUAAAGGCUCACCUAGGCGACGAUCCCUAGCUGGUCUGAGAGGAUGACCAGCCAGACUGGAACUGAGACACGGUCGAAACACCUACGGGAGGCAGCAGUGGGGAAUAUUGCAAAAUGGGCGCAAGCCUGAUGCAGCCAUGCCGCGUGUAUGCAGAAGGCCGUCGGGUUGUAAAGUACUAUCAGCGGGGAGGCGUUACCCGCAGAAGAAGCACCGGCUAACACCGGACCAGCAGCAGCGGUAAUUC
rnacentral:rRNA from 1 species